GACGAACGCUGGCGGCGUGCUUAACACAUGCAAGUCGAACGGAAAGGCCCUGCUUUUGUGGGGUGCUCGAGUGGCGAACGGGUGAGUAACACGUGAGUAACCUGCCCUUGACUUUGGUAUAACUUCAGGAAACUGGGGCUAAUACCGGAUAGGAGCUCCUGCUGCAUGGUGGGGGGUGGAAAGUUUCGGCGGUUGGGGAUGGACUCGCGGCUUAUCAGCUUGUUGGUGGGGUAGUGGCUUACCAAGGCUUUGACGGGUAGCCGGCCUGAGAGGGUGACCGGCCACAUUGGGACUGAGAUACGGCCCAGACUCCUACGGGAGGCAGCAGUGGGGAAUAUUGCACAAUGGGCGGAAGCCUGAUGCAGCAACGCCGCGUGCGGGAUGACGGCCUUCGGGUUGUAAACCGCUUUCGCCUGUGACGAAGCGUGAGUGACGGUAAUGGGUAAAGAAGCACCGGCUAACUACGUG
rnacentral:rRNA from 1 species